AUUGAACGCUGGCGGCAGGCCUAACACAUGCAAGUCGAACGAGUGGGGGAAGGGUGAGUAAUGUCUGGGAAACUGCCUGACGGAGGGGGAUAACUACUGGAAACGGGAGCUAAUACCGCAUAACACCAGAAGUGCCAAGAUGGGAUUAGGUAGUAGGUGAGGUAACGGCUCACCUAUGCGACGAUCCCUAGCGGGUCUGAGAGGGUGACCAGCCACACUGGAACUGAGACACGGUCCAGACUCCUACGGGAGGCAGCAGGUGGGAAUAUUGCACAAUGGGCGCAAGCCUGAUGCAGCCAUGCCGGGUGUAUCAAGAAGGCCUUCGGGUUGUAAAGUACUUGCAGCGGGGAGGCGUUACCAGCAGAAGAAGCACCGGCUAACUCCGUGCCAGCAGCCGCGGUAAUAC
rnacentral:rRNA from 1 species